GAUGAACGCUGGCGGCGUGCCUAAUACAUGCAAGUCGAGCGAACAGAUGAGGAGCUUGCUCCUCUGACGUUAGCGGCGGACGGGUGAGUAACACGUGGAUAACCUACCUAUAAGACUGGGAUAACUUCGGGAAACCGGAGCUAAUACCGGAUAAUAUAUUGAACCGCAUGGUUCAAUAGUGAAAGACGGUUUUGCUGUCACUUAUAGAUGGAUCCGCGCCGCAUUAGCUAGUUGGUAAGGUAACGGCUUACCAAGGCAACGAUGCGUAGCCGACCUGAGAGGGAGAUCGGCAACAAUGGAACUGAGACACGGUCCAGGCUCCUACGGGAGGCAGCAGUAGGGAAUCUUCCGCCAUGGGCGAAAGCCUGACGGAGCAACGGCGCGUGAGUGAUGAAGGUCUUCGGAUCGUAAAACUCUGUUAUUAGGGAAGAACAAAUGUGUAAGUAACUAUGCACGUCUUGACGGUAACUAAUCAGAAAGCCACGGCUAACUACGUG
rnacentral:rRNA from 1 species